AAGGCCCUAGCUUAGUUAAAGUGCCUGGGUUGCAUUCAGGAGAUGCAAGUUAAUAUCUUGCGGGUCUUA
rnacentral:tRNA from 1 species